AUUGAACGCUGGCGGCAGGCCUAACACAUGCAAGUCGAACGGUAACAGGAAGAAGCUUGCUUCUUUGCUGACGAGUGGCGGACGGGUGAGUAAUGUCUGGGAAACUGCCUGAUGGAGGGGGAUAACUACUGGAAACGGUAGCUAAUACCGCAUAACGUCGCAAGACCAAAAAGGGGGACCUUCGGGCCUCUUGCCAUCGGAUGUGCCCAGAUGGGAUUAGCUAGUAGGUGGGGUAACGGCUCACCUAGGCGACGAUCCCUAGCUGGUCUGAGAGGAUGACCAGACACACUGGCACUGAGACACGGUCCCGACUCCUACGGGAGGCAGCAGUGGGGAAUAUUGCACAAUGGGCGCAAGCCUGAUGCAGCCAUGCCGCGUGUAUGAAGAAGGCCUUCGGGUUGUAAAGUACUUUCAGCGGGGAGGAAGGGAGUAAAGUUAAUACCUUUGCUCAUUGACGUUACCCGCAGAAGAAGCACCGGCUAACUCCGUG
rnacentral:rRNA from 1 species